GGCAGCGGCUUUGGAGCUGGGGCUCUCCGUGCAGCUCUAAUUAAACCCUUCCCUGAUUGCCGUCCACUAAUUGGACACUCAAGAUUUAAACUUUUUUUUUUUUUCCCUUUCUGGAUGAGACGCUGAGCUCCAGAUCCUCCUCCCUGACUUCGCCAGUCCCGUUCCGUCCCGCAGAGCCGCGCUUCCCUGCCCUCCGCCUCCUUUUUGUGCCUUUUUGCGAAACUUCAGCCCUCGCUGCUGCUCCUGCCACUCUGCCUCUCCUCUCCUUCCCCGUCCACUGCGCUCCCCCUGCGCCGCAGGCGCCCCCGAGCACCCCAUUCCCGAAGCUUGCCGGCGGGCCCCUGCCCAGCCCCCGGCGCCCAGCCCACGCAGGUGACGUGUCCUCCCCCACGCCGCGCUGACGGCACCCCCCGCACGGCUCCGGCAGCUCCCCGACCCCCCCUGCCACAACGCAGCAGCUUUUGGGGUUUGUGGCCCUCAGGAGGUUAGGGUUUAGGGAUAGGGUUAGGGAUUAGGGGUUAGGGUUAGGGUUAGGCUUAGGGUUAGGGUUAUGGUUAGGGGGUAGGGUUAGGGUUAUUUUUAGUGUUGCGGUUGGUGUUAGGUUUAGGGUUGGGUUAGGGUUAGGGUUUGUGUUAGGGUUUUUGUUAGGGUUAGGGUUUAGGGUUUAGGGUUAGGGUUUAGGGCUUAGGGUCAGGGUCAGGGUUAGGAGUUAGGGUUAGGGGUUAGGGUUAGUGUUCGGGGUAGCUGCGCCAUUAGAUUUAGGGUUAGGCUUUGGGUUAGGCUUUCGGUUAGCAUUAGGAUUAUGGUCAGGGUUAGGGGUUAGGAUUAGAUUUAGGAUUUAGGGUUUAGGGUUAGUGUUAGGGGUUAGGGGCUGGGGGUUAGGGUUAGGAGUUAGGGUUAGUGUUAGGAUUGGGGGUUAGGGUUAGGAUUAGGGUUAGCGUUAGGUUUUAGCGUUAAGGUUAGUGUUAGGUUUAGGGAUAGGUUAAGGGUAAGUGUCAGGGUUAGGGUUAGUGUUGGGUUAGCUGUGCCAUUAGACUUAGGGUUAAGCUUUGGGUUAGGCUUUCGGUUAGCGUUAGGGUUAGGGUCAGGGUUAGGCGUUAGGGUUAGACUUAGGGUUUAGGGUUUAGUGUUAGUGUUAGGGGUUAGGGGCUGGGGGUUAGGGUAAGGGUUAGGGUUAGGGUUAGGUUUAUGGUUGGGGUUAGUUAGGGUUAGGAGUUAGGGUUAGGGUUAAGUUUAGGGGUUAAGGGUUAGUGUUAGGCUUAGGGUUAGGGUUUAGGGUUAGGUUUUAGGGUUUAGGGAUAGGUUUAGGGUUAGGAUUAGGGUUAGGGUUAGGGCUAGGGCUAGUCCUAGGGGUAGUGUUAGUGAUAGGGUUAGCGUUCGGGUUAGGGUUAGUAAUAGGGAUAGGUUAGGUUUAGGGUUAGGAAUAGGGAUAGGGUUAGGGUUAGUGUUCUGGUUAGGUUUAAGGUUAGGGUUAGGGUUUAGGGUUAGG
rnacentral:lncRNA from 1 species